AGUGAGCGCUGGCGGUAGGCCUAACACAUGCAAGUCGAACGGCAGCACAGUAAGAGCUUGCUCUUACGGGUGGCGAGUGGCGGACGGGUGAGGAAUACAUCGGAAUCUACUUUUUCGUGGGGGAUAACGUAGGGAAACUUACGCUAAUACCGCAUACGACCUACGGGUGAAAGCAGGGGAUCUUCGGACCUUGCGCGAUUGAAUGAGCCGAUGUCGGAUUAGCUAGUUGGCGGGGUAAAGGCCCACCAAGGCGACGAUCCGUAGCUGGUCUGAGAGGAUGAUCAGCCACACUGGAACUGAGACACGGUCCAGACUCCUACGGGAGGCAGCAGUGGGGAAUAUUGGACAAUGGGCGCAAGCCUGAUCCAGCCAUACCGCGUGGGUGAAGAAGGCCUUCGGGUUGUAAAGCCCUUUUGUUGGGAAGGAAAAGCAGCAGGUUAAUACCCCGCUGUUCUGACGGUACCCAAAGAAUAAGCACCGGCUAACUUCGUG
rnacentral:rRNA from 1 species